UUCACCAACACAGGUCCCACGCGUUCUGAGCGUCGCCAGAAAGGCGCCAUUACUCCCGUGAGAGCCACACCAUGUGAGGUGACUGUACGCCGUUAUGCUACUCCACUGUGCACCUGUGGAUUCCCGGCAUAUCACCACCCAGGAGCAGGAACACAUAAUGGAAUGCUUUAGAAGCUCCGCGGUCGUCACUUGGAGCGACCAAGAAUACCAGGUGUAGAAAAAGUACUGGAUGACGCGUUCUGAGCGCCUUCCGGGUGUCACCCAUGACCACACUGUGAAGGCCAUACCACAGUGGUCAUGCACCUCCACUGUGGACCUGUAGAUACCCUACAUAUCACCACCCAGGAUAGGAGAAAAUCACUGUAUACUUGAGAAGUUUUGCUGUCGCUACGUGGAACGACUUCCUAAUACCAGGCAUGGAAACAGUACUGGUAUGAUUACCUGGGAAGUAUCCCAUCUGCUCAUCAAGAGAAGUGUAAUGAAAAUACUAUUUGUUCUUCUGAUGAAAGCCAACUCUUUUGUAAUGUAACAGGUGAUGUUGCACUCUAACAGGUGGAGCAGUCUGAUGUGUUGAGUGUUAUUGUAAGAAGGGAUGACCGAGAUAAGGAGGUCACUGAUUGUUAUGAGCAGUACGUAUGUGGGUGAUACGCAAUUAAUGCAAGACGUCUGUUGUUGGGCAGUGUAACCAAAAUCAUCGUUGUUCCUCUGAGGAAGGCCAACUCACUUGUAUUUUAACGGAAUGCAAUAUGUUUUAUAAGGAAUAAAUUAGUUAAGACAU